rnacentral:lncRNA from 1 species
AGGCUUCAAUCGUUUUUAUGCUUUGCCGGUCAGUAAUUCAAGAAUUAUCAUUUGCGAGAUUCACAUAGUUUGACCGGACUUUUCUUCAUAUCUCGCAAGAGAUAUAUCUGUCUAUUCUAUUAUAAUUAUUGUUUGAAAAAUAAUUCGUAGGACUUGUAUGUUCAUUGUCAUUUAACAUCCAUGUUCUGGUUAUUGAUAUCAUAGACUUCAAUCGUUUUCAUGCUUUGCCGGUCAGUAAUUCAAGAAUUUCAUUUGCGAGAUUCACAUAGUUUGACCGGACUUCUCUUCAUAUCUCGCAAGAGAGAUAUCUGUCUAUUCUGUAAUAAUUACUGUUUGAAAAAAAAUUUCUUUGAAAAGAUUUGAUCAAAGGAAUAUUUUGUUGUCCUAUGUUUUAAAGAGAUUCCAAGCCAACUGCUGUCUUCCUACCACUAGUUCCACAAAGAAUUAAGUUGCUACUACUGAAUUGAUGAUCAAAGCCCACUAGAUGCUUAAGUAAAAUCUUUCGGGAGGUAAAACUUCAUUGGAGGAGUUUAUUUAUUUAUUUUUGAAUUGGAUGAUUUCCUAACUAACUACCAUGAAUGUUUGAGGAAACUCACAAUCUUUACUGACCUUUUAUGAUAUUGAUAAACUAUCACUGUUUUGUUAAUGCUUCUUGAGAGUCGUCCUUAUCUUGUUUAGCUUGACAAGAUAUCUCUUUGUUGGUUUGUACUAAUUUCAUUCAUAUAUCAGAAAGCUUGAUAACCCAUUGGUCUCAUCAAAAGUGAGAAACAAGAUAAGAUAUAUGUCGUACUGCUUUAACACUCAUUUUUUACUUACACUAAGGAAAAUUUUGCAGUUAUGAAGAAUCUUUAUAAUGCCACUUAUUUCGUUGUCCAUGGUUGGAAUGAAUUUUCUGCUCAAUAGAAUGCAUAUGAAAAUUCAAUGAGACUAGUCUUGUGGAUAUGAUUUCUUUAACAUUCAUGUCUUUGUUUUGGUUUGGCAGUUUGUACAGGUGAUAUUUUGUGGAGGCGUUAAACUUGAUGAGCCACAGAAGUAGUCCAACUUAGAGUAUAAAGAAAACUUUGGUAUCACUUUUGUAAAUUUAAAAACAACCAUAAGCGAUCAGCCUCAUAGCUGAAUAUCAAAAACCAAAUAUUAUGUCCUUGAGGUUCAUGUCUGAUACCAAUAUCUGAUAUCCAAAUAUAAAGUACUAAUAUGACACUUGGCAAAUACUUCUUGUAUGUCGGCUCUUGAUUAGUACUUAAUAUCAAUCUAUGUAUGAUAUAUAGAAAAAGUGUUUGAUUGAAAAUUUUGAGGUUUCAUACCAAUGUAUCGAGGAUCAGUUAAGAUAUAGGGAUUAUGAAAGUGUACUUAUACCAAAUCAUAUCAGUUUGCAUUGUUCUUAAAUGGUUAGAUAUACAAAGUACUUGGUGUGCUUUAUUUGGAACAUCUGUCUAUACAUAAUCAAACUUUCAUGGUGUUGCAUAUUCAUUGAUCUUCUAUCAGAAAAAAACUUUUUGGACAAUCUUGAGAGUAAAUUCUCAAUUUUCUCAAGCAACAAUAUCGUACUAUGGGAGUUGACAUCUCUAGAUCAUUUUUUCUAUAAAUCUAAACAGCACUCAGACAAAUAAGUCAAAUAAGAGGUAUUCUUAAGCUGAUUCUGUAUGAAUUUCAUAGGUG